rnacentral:snoRNA from 1 species
CCCCCCCCCCCGGCGGCUCCCUGUGAGCGCUCAGUGUUCUGCUUGCACUGUCAGGCCCCGCCGUGGGCAGCGCUGCUUGCCUGCAGCCUGAGAGGACUCUGCAAUGUGUCAGGUGGAGGGGAGCGGGGGGACCUGGUG